CAUUACAAAUAAAAAUUUACUAUUAUUAUUAUUAUUAUUAUUAUUAUUAUUGUUAGCCAUAUUCGCAGUUAUGAUGCUCUUAUUCUGAAAACUGGUUCCGGUUGUGUUGUUGUUCCGGGAGAACAAACAGCAGCGGAGGACUCGCAGUUCAUCACAUCUCUGUACAGACGAAGAUGACACUGAUCUUCCUCCUUAUUUUCUGAAUUCAGCGGACAAACUCAGAAAACAUCCCAGAAGAAGCUUCAUCCUUUUCCAUCCAGCUCCUGUUCUUAACUCCACCGUCCGUCUGUCAUCUUCAGAGGAGACGUUCUUGCUCCCUGAACCUCCAUCAUGACUGAGCUGUCGGACUUUGAGCGAGGCCAGAUAGUCGGAGCUCAGAUCUCUGGUCUGUCCGUCAGGAAAACCGCCCAGCUGUGUGACGUGUCGAGCCGGACCGUGGUGAAGGUCAUGAACGCUUACAACAAACACGGAUUCACUGCAACGGCUCAGAAGAACAAGAAGCAGGAGCCACAAGCAAAGAGGAAAGACUGAAGAAUGCGAGAGAAGCUGCCAGCGAUAAGCCGGCAUGUGAAGAACAGAAAGAAACACGUGAAUCCCAGAUCACAGAGCAGCAGUAGUUAGCUGGGAUGGUCUGCUUUUAACACAGGAUGCCUUCAUUCAGCCCUCAUGUUUUAGCUUUAAUCGCUGUUAAAAAGGUUGAAAAGGAUCUCUUCUAACAGCUGAGGACAUCUCCAUGGUUUUCUAAAGCUUUCUAUAAUGUGUUUGCUGAUUCAGUGAUUUUAUUUCCAGUUAAACCAGUGGAACGUUGGAAAAGUAGCAUGAAACUGGGUUUUAGUGCCGCCCAGAGACAUUUCAACCAGCUCCAAUGGAACUCAUCGACCACGAAAAUUAUGAGAAUUAAAAAUGCAAUUCAGUUUUCUAAACCACUAAUUAAUUCAGUGAGGCAUCAGAGAGGCCAAUUUUUGUUUAGCAAAUGGUCCAGAAAUGACAGAAAAAUGCUUCAUUUUUUGGACUUACUGUGCCCCAUCAGGAUUAUUUCCAUCCCAAAGCUUCAUUCUGAGCCCUGAUGAUGGCAGAUUUUUCUUUAGCUUCACCUUUACAGCGUGCAGAUACAAUAAAAACUAUUAAUCCUGUCAUUUUAUCAGUUAAUACAGUAAUAGUAAGAGUGAAAAUCAAACAAGCGGUCAGUUUUUCCUCCCAUAAAGCAGCGUUUUUCAGCUCCUGUCUGCAUACUGCUGCUGUUCCACUGAGCUCCAUGUUCCAGGAUCCAUCUCUGAAUAAAUGUGGACUUUUUGUUUGGAAAAAGACGUAAAGACAAUGUGAGACAGUGAACCUGUUACAGUCUUAAAUGUGCUGUAUUUCUUAUUUUUAUUCUGUGGAGCAGUAUUUACUCAUGCAUCUGUUUGGACCAGAGGAGAAAAUAAAUGUGUGACCUCA